rnacentral:rRNA from 1 species
GCCAAAAUUCUAGCUCCUUAUUAACCCAAUGCACCCUCUCCCCAACUCACCCUAAUUAAAACAUUCUUAUAUUAUAGUAAAGGAGAUUGAAAAAUUUUUCCGAAGCAAUAAACCUAGUACCGCAAGGGAAAGAUGAAAUAUUAGUGAAAAUAUUUAAGCAAAAAAAAGUAGAGCCCAACUCUCGUACCUUUUGCAUCAUGGUUCAACUAGUCUAAUCAAGCAAAAAGCAUUACAGUUUGACCUCCCGAAACUAAGCGAGCUACUUCAGGGCAGCUUAAUGAGCCAACCCGUCUCUGUUGCAAAAGAGUGGGAAGACCCCCAAGUAGCGGUGACAUAUCUAACGAGCUUAGUGAUAGCUGGUUACUCAGGAAAAGGAUUUUAGUCCGACCUAAAGUCUCACCUUUACCCCAAAAAACACCUUUGACUUUAGAGCAAUUCAAAUAAGGUACAGCCUAUUUGAAACAGGGUACAACCUAAUCUGACGGGUAAAAUUCAUUUUUGAGGGCCCCCAGUAGGCCUAAGAGCAGCCACCUUUCUAAAAGCGUCACAGCUUAGUUCCCCUCUUCAUCCCAAUUCCCCACACUAACUUAAACCCUCUUACAAUACUGAGUAAUCCUAUACUUUUAUAGAAAAUUUUAUGUUGAAACUAGUAACAAGAAUACAAACCUUCUCUUAAAUGCAAGCAUAAAUCAGAAAGGAUAAACCACUGAUAAUUAACGCCUAUGAAUACAUAUUAGCAACCCCGCAGGAAAACCCUAAUACACUUCACGUUGACCUGACACAAGAGCAUUUCAAGAAAGAUUAAAAGAAAGAGAAGGAACUCGGCAAAUAUUAACCCCGCCUGUUUACCAAAAACAUCGCCUCUUGACUAAAAAUAGGAGGUCCAGCCUGCCCAGUGACAAAUGUUCAACGGCCGCGGUAUCCUAACCGUGCGAAGGUAGCGUAAUCACUUGUUCUUUAAAUGGGGACUAGUAUGAAUGGCACCACGAGGGUUAUACUGUCUCCUCUUUCCAAUCAGUGAAACUAAUCUCCCCGUGAAGAAGCGGGGAUAAAACUAUAAGACGAGAAGACCCUAUGGAGCUUUAAACUUCUCUUCAACCGCCAGACUACUCUGAUAAGUCACCGACCCCUUAAUAUACACCUACGGCGCCGUGAAGAUGACUUUUAGGUUGGGGUGACCGCGGAGAACAAAAAAUCCUCCACGCUGAACUAGGCCUCCAAGCCUUGAACACAGGGCUACAACCCAAAGCACUAAAAAAUUAACACCCAUUGACCCAAUACUACUUGAUCAACGAACCAAGUUACCCUAGGGAUAACAGCGCAAUCCACUUCAAGAGUCCCUAUCGACAAGUGGGUUUACGACCUCGAUGUUGGAUCAGGGUAUCCCAGUGGUGCAGCCGCUACUAAUGGUUCGUUUGUUCAACGACUAAGACCCU